UUGAAAUUUAGAUGUAGUAAAUUUUGUGUAGUAAUUUUAUUUGAAGUAAUUUUAUGUAAAGUAUUUUUGUAUUUUAAUUCAAAUAUAUUAAAUAAAACUUUUCAAUUUUUCUAAAUUCCAGAAAAUUUAAAUAAGGGUAGAAAAGUCAUAAAGGCUACUAUUUCCAUAUUUUGUUUUUGGUGGACAAUUUUUCCUUUUGUUAUGUGGGAUUGGCU
rnacentral:lncRNA from 1 species